rnacentral:rRNA from 1 species
GACGAACGCUGGCGGCGUGCUUAACACAUGCGAGUCGAACGGAAAGGCCCUGCUUUUGUGGGGUGCUCGAGUGGCGAACGGGUGAGUAACACGUGAGUAACCUGCCCUUGACUUUGGGAUAACUUCAGGAAACUGGGGCUAAUACCGGAUAGGAGCUCCUGCUGCAUGGUGGGGGUUGGAAAGUUUCGGCGGUUGGGGAUGGACUCGCGGCUUAUCAGCUUGUUGGUGGGGUAGUGGCUUACCAAGGCUUUGACGGGUAGCCGGCCUGAGAGGGUGACCGGCCACAUUGGGACUGAGAUACGGCCCAGACUCCUACGGGAGGCAGCAGUGGGGAAUAUUGCACAAUGGGCGGAAGCCUUAUGCAGCAACGCCGCGUGCGGGAUGACGGCCUUCGGGUUGUAAACCGCUUUCGCCUGUGACGAAGCGUGAGUGACGGUAAUGGGUAAAGAAGCACCGGCUAACUACGUG